rnacentral:rRNA from 1 species
UCACAUCCGAGGCCUUGUAAUUGGAAUGAGUACACUUUAAAUCCUUUAACAAGGAUCAAUUGGAGGGCAAGUCUGGUGCCAGCAGCCGCGGUAAUUCCAGCUCCAAUAGCGUAUAUUAAAGUUGUUGCGGUUAAAACGUUCGUAGUUGAACUUGUGUUCCGCACGGGCUGCUACCAUGGCUAGUUUACUAGCCCGGUAACUUGUCUUAUCUUGUCUUGGCUUGCCUUGGCAAAAGUGCGUGGACGUAUUAUCGGCGUGUUCGCUCUUGCAGCGUUCACAUAAGCUCAUUGCAGUGAUCUUAACCGAUUGUUGUUGUGAGCCGAUACAAAUUACUUUGAACAAAUUAGAGUGCUUAAAGCAGGCUUGUAAUGCCUGAAUAUUUUGUGCAUGGAAUAAUGAAAUAGGACAUCUGUUCUACUUUCAUUGGUUUAAUAGACCAAGAUGUAAUGAUUAAUGGAAGCAGUUGGGGGCAUUAGUAUUACAACGCGAGAGGUGAAAUUCUUAGACCGUUGUAAGACUGACUAAAGCGAAAGCAUUUGCCAAAGAUGUUUUCAUUUAAUCAAGAACGAAAGUUAGAGGUUCGAAGGCGAUCAGAUACCGCCCUAGUUCUAACCAUAAACGAUGCCAGCUAGCAAUUGAGUGUAGCUACUACUAUGGCUCUUUCAGUCGCUUCUCGGGAAACCAAAGCUUUUGGGCUCCGGGGGAAGUAUGGUUGCAAAGCUGAAACUUAAAGGAAUUGACGGAAGGGCACCACCAGGAGUGGAGCCUGCGGCUUAAUUUGACUCAACACGGGAAAACUUACCAGGUCCGAACAUAAAUGAGUAAGACAGAUUG